AGUGAACGCUGGCGGUAGGCCUAACACAUGCAAGUCGAACGGCAGCACAGUAAGAGCUUGCUCUUACGGGUGGCGAGUGGCGGACGGGUGAGGAAUACAUCGGAAUCUACUUUUUCGUGGGGGAUAACGUAGGGAAACUUACGCUAAUACCGCAUACGACCUACGGGUGAAAGCAGGGGAUCUUCGGACCUUGCGCGAUUGAAUGAGCCGAUGUCGGAUUAGCUAGUUGGCGGGGUAAAGGCCCACCAAGGCAACGAUCCGUAGCUGGUCUGAGAGGAUGAUCAGCCACACUGGAACUGAGACACGGUCCAGACUCCUACGGGAGGCAGCAGUGGAGAAUAUUGGACAAUGGGCGCAAGCCUGAUCCAGCCAUACCGCGUGGGUGAAGAAGGCCUUCGGGUUGUAAAGCCCUUUUGUUGGGAAAGAAAAGCAGCAGGUUAAUACCCCGCUGUUCUGACGGUACCCAAAGAAUAAGCACCGGCUAACUUCGUG
rnacentral:rRNA from 1 species